GGUCUAAUACCGGAUACGACGCGCUCAGGCAUCUGAUGCGCGUGGAAAGCUCCGGCGGUGCAGGAUGAGCCCGCGGCCUAUCAGCUUGUUGGUGAGGUAACGGCUCACCAAGGCGACGACGGGUAGCCGGCCUGAGAGGGCGACCGGCCACACUGGGACUGAGACACGGCCCAGACUCCUACGGGAGGCAGCAGUGGGGAAUAUUGCACAAUGGGCGAAAGCCUGAUGCAGCGACGCCGCGUGAGGGAUGACGGCCUUCGGGUUGUAAACCUCUUUCAGCAGGGAAGAAGCGAAAGUGACGGUACCUGCAGAAGAAGCGCCGGCUAACUACGUGCCAGCAGCCGCGGUAAUACGUAGGGCGCGAGCGUUGUCCGGAAUUAUUGGGCGUAAAGAGCUCGUAGGCGGCUUGUCGCGUCGGUUGUGAAAGCCCGGGGCUUAACCCCGGGUCUGCAGUCGAUACGGGCAGGCUAGAGUUCGGUAGGGGAGAUCGGAAUUCCUGGUGUAGCGGUGAAAUGCGCAGAUAUCAGGAGGAACACCGGU
rnacentral:rRNA from 1 species